rnacentral:ncRNA from 2 species
GCCGCGCCUAGCUCGACGGGGCGAAAGCAGGGUUCCCUUACCCUGUUGGCGCGGCUCUUUCCAAGGG